rnacentral:rRNA from 1 species
AGAGUUUGAUCAUGGCUCAGGACGAACGCUGGCGGCGUGCUUAACACAUGCAAGUCGAGCGGAAAGGCUCCUUCGGGAGUACUCGAGCGGCGAACGGGUGAGUAACACGUGGGUAAUCUGCCCAGGACACAGGAAUAACCAGUGGAAACGCUGGCUAAUGCCUGAUGACGUGCCAACCCCUCGGGGGAGGUACCAAAGGUAGCUUCGGCCUCCGGUCUUGGAUGAGCCCGCGGCCCAUUAGCUUGUUGGCGGGGUAACGGCCCACCAAGGCGACGAUGGGUAGCUGGUCUGAGAGGACGAUCAGCCACACUGGGACUGAGACACGGCCCAGACUCCUACGGGAGGCAGCAGUGGGGAAUCUUGCGCAAUGGGCGAAAGCCUGACGCAGCAACGCCGCGUGCGGGAAGAAGGUCUUAGGGUUGUAAACCGCUUUCAGUAGGGACGAAGGCAAGUAGGUUAAUAGCCUGCGAGUUGACGGUACCUACAGAAGAAGGUCCGGCUAACUACGUGCCAGCAGCCGCGGUAAUACGUAGGGACCGAGCGUUGUCCGGAAUCAUUGGGCGUAAAGAGCGUGUAGGCGGCCAACUAAGUCCUGCGUGAAAUCUCGGGGCUCAACCCCGAGCGGUCGUGGGAAACUGGUUGGCUAGAGUGCGGGAGAGGAGAGUGGAAUUCCUGGUGUAGCGGUGAAAUGCGCAGAUAUCAGGAAGAACACCCGUGGCGAAGGCGGCUCUCUGGAACGCAACUGACGCUGAGACGCGAAAGCGUGGGGAGCAAACAGGAUUAGAUACCCUAGUAGUCC